UACGUAGGGUGCGAGCGUUGUCCGGAAUUAUUGGGCGUAAAGAGCUCGUAGGCGGUGUGUCACGUCGGCCGUGAAAACCUGCAGCUUAACUGUGGGCGUGCGGUCGAUACGGGCAUCACUGGAGUUCGGCAGGGGAGACUGGAAUUCCUGGUGUAGCGGUGAAAUGCGCAGAUAUCAGGAGGAACACCGGUGGCGAAGGCGGCUAUCUGGCUCACAACUGACGAUCAGGCACGAAAGCGUGGGGAGCAAACAGG
rnacentral:rRNA from 1 species